rnacentral:lncRNA from 1 species
CCUAAGUCAAUGGGGGGAGGCCUAUUUGGGGGCAGUGAGGUCUAAUAUGGGGGGGAGGCCUAUUGGGGGGUGAGGCCUAUUCAGUGGGGGGUGAGGCCUAGUCAAUGGUGGGAGGCCUAAUGGGGGGUGAGGCCUACUCAAUGGGGGGCUUAGGCCUAAUGGGGGAGUGAGGCCUAGUGGGGGGUGAGGCCUAGUCAAUGGGGGGUGAGGCCUAGUCAAUGGGGGGAGGCCUAAUAUGGGGGUGAGGCCUAGUCAAUGUUGUGCGGCCUAGUAAAGGGGGUGAGGCCUAGUGGGGAGUGAGGCUUAGUCAAUGGAGUGAGGCCUAAUAUGGGGGUGAGGCCUAGUCAAUGGGGUGAGGCCUAGUGGAGGCAGUAAGGCCUAGUGGGGGCAGUAAGGCCUAAUGGGGGGUGUUGGGCCUAGUAUGGGCCCAGUUUGGUCUUUAUACUGGUCCCAGUAUGGCCCUGCUGUGGUCUGUGUACUGGUCCCAGUAUGACCCCAGUAUGGCUAUGGAAUGGGCCUACACUGGUCCCAGUAUGGGCCCAGUUUGCUCUGUGUACUGGUCCCAGUAUGGCCUGUGUAGUUGGCAUGUCCCCAUAUACCCCCAUAUGUCCCCCUAUAUCCCCGUGUAUCCCUAUAUACCCCUAUAUGUCCUUAUAUGUCUCCCUGUAUUCACAUUAUGUCCCUAUAUGUCCUUAAAUGUCUCAAUGUAUCACCUUAUGUCCCCAUAUAUUCCCAUAUGUCUCCCUAUAUCCCCAUAUAACCCCAUAUAUAUCCCCAUAUAACCCCAUAUAUAUCCCCAUAUAACCCCAUAUAUAUCCCCAUAUAACCCCAUAUAUAUUCCCAUAUAACCCCAUAUAUCCCCAUUUGUCCCCAUAUGUCCACAUGUAACCCCAUAUAUCCCCCUUUAUCCCCCUAUAUCCCCAUAGAGCCCCAUAUAUCCACCUAUAUCCUUCUAUAUAUCCUCCUAUAUCCAUCUAUAACCACGUAUAUCCACCUAUAUCUACCUAUAUCCCCCUGUGUCUCUCUAUAUCCCCCUAUAUCCCCAUAUGUCCUCAUAUAACCCCAUACGUCCCCAUAUAUCCCCAUAUAUAUCCCC